GAUUUGUCUAAAAUACAUAAAUUAUCUGAAAAGAAGCAAAUCUUGUUAGGAAAGUUGGAAUCUAAUCAGAAAGAGCUACAAGAAGCCCAGCAACUUGAAGCUGCCGAGCCAGGCAGUGUCAGUGCACACAGGCUGGAGGAGUUGUCUGAGCAAAGGAAACAGUUGACUGCAGAUCUAGAGACAACACUGGAUGACAUAAAAAAUACAUAUCGUUGUGCUUCAGAAAAAGCUAUAUAUGUACCACCUAUUGAAAGGGAAUUGUCUAAAAUACACAAACUAUCCGAAAAGAAGCAACUGUUGUUAGAAAAGUUGGAGUCUAAUAAAAAAGAGCUACAAGAAGCUCAACAACU